rnacentral:rRNA from 1 species
UGCGGAACACGUGUGCAACCUGCCUUUAUCUGGGGGAUAGCCUUUCGAAAGGGAGAUUAAUACCCCAUAAUAUAUUUAUCGGCAUCGAUAGAUAUUGAAAACUCCGGUGGAUAGAGAUGGGCACGCGCAAGAUUAGAUAGUUGGUGAGGUAACGGCUCACCAAGUCUACGAUCUUUAGGGGGCCUGAGAGGGUGAUCCCCCACACUGGUACUGAGACACGGACCAGACUCCUACGGGAGGCAGCAGUGAGGAAUAUUGGACAAUGGGUGAGAGCCUGAUCCAGCCAUCCCGCGUGAAGGACGACGGCCCUAUGGGUUGUAAACUUCUUUUGUAUAGGGAUAAACCUACUCUCGUGAGAGUAGCUGAAGGUACUAUACGAAUAAGCACCGGCUAACUCCGUGCCAGCAGCCGC